UGAGGAAUAUUGGUCAAUGGGCGAGAGCCUGAACCAGCCAAGUAGCGUGCAGGAUGACGGCCCUAUGGGUUGUAAACUGCUUUUAUGUGGGGAUAAAGUGCGUGACGUGUCAUGCAUUGCAGGUACCGCAUGAAUAAGGACCGGCUAAUUCCGUGCCAGCAGCCGCGGUAAUACGGAAGGUCCGGGCGUUAUCCGGAUUUAUUGGGUUUAAAGGGAGCGUAGGCUGUCUAUUAAGCGUGUUGUGAAAUUUACCGGCUCAACCGGUGGCUUGCAGCGCGAACUGGUCGACUUGAGUAUGCAGGAAGUAGGCGGAAUUCAUGGUGUAGCGGUGAAAUGCUUAGAUAUCAUGACGAACUCCGAUUGCGCAGGCAGCUUACUGUAGCAUAACUGACGCUGAUGCUCGAAAGUGCGGGUAUCAAACAGG
rnacentral:rRNA from 1 species